rnacentral:rRNA from 1 species
GACGAACGCUGGCGGCGUGCUUAACACAUGCAAGUCGAACGGAAAGGCCCUGCUUUUGUGGGGUGCUCGAGUGGCGAACGGGUGAGUAACACGUGAGUAACCUGCCCUUGACUUUGGGAUAACUUCAGGGAACUGGGGCUAAUACCGGAUAGGAGCUCCUGCUGCAUGGUGGGGGUUGGAAAGUUUCGGCGGUUGGGGAUGGACUCGCGGCUUAUCAGCUUGUUGGUGGGGUAGUGGCUUACCAAGGCUUUGACGGGUAGCCGGCCUGUGAGGGUGACCGGCCACAUUGGGACUGAGAUACGGCCCAGACUCCUACGGGAGGCAGCAGUGGGGAAUAUUGCACAAUGGGCGGAAGCCUGAUGCAGCAACGCCGCGUGCGGGAUGACGGCCUUCGGGUUGUAAACCGCUUUCGCCUGUGACGAAGCGUGAGUGACGGUAAUGGGUAAAGAAGCACCGGCUAACUACGUG